rnacentral:SRP_RNA from 1 species
CCAAGUGACACACACCUGUUUUCCCAGCUACUCAGGAUGCUGAGGCAGGAGUAACUCUUGAACCCAGGAGUUCUGGGUUGUAUGUGCUAUGUUGAUCAAGUGUCUACACUAAGAUUGGCAUCAACAUAUUAUCUUCCAGGGAGCAGAGGACCACUAGGCUGCCUAAGGAGUGAUGAAUCAGCCCAACUCAAAAAUUGAGCAGGAUAAAACUCCUCUGCUCAUCAGUAGUGGGAUAAGCCCUUGGAAUAGUCACUCCACUCCAAUCUGGGCAAUGUAGUGAGGCUCUAUUUCU